UAGGACAGGCAUGGACAAACUUGGGCCCUUCAGGUUUUUUUGGAUACAGUAUAUUAUUUGAGAACACAGAAAUGCUGGACCACUCUAACAAUCACCAUGUCGGGCUACACAGAGAAGCCACUGAAAUCCACAAGCAUGUGGACAAUUUCAACAGAAAGGAGGAAACCAAGAAAAUGAACAAAAUCUGAGCUCCAGCAUUAAAUAAAAACUCCAAAAACAGGACAAUAAAUAAACAGCAACACUCUGAAAACAGAAAUUCCAAACAUGAAUCAACCUCCCAACAAAGGAUUCCUUCAGGAGUCCUUGUGCAUUUGCAACUGGAGGAAGGGACAAAACACCAUGGUAAUAAACAAGAUUGAUACCAUGAUCAGAAGAAUAUCUGCUUUAGUGAAUUCAGUGGCACUUAUGCCUGAGCACAAAGUAGCACCUAAGUUGUCAUGUUCAGACUACACGAAAAGAUUAUUUGCCAGUGUGGUGCAAUGGCUGGAGGAUUGGACUCUGACUCCAGAUGCCUGUGUUUGAAUUCCUGCUUGACCAUGGCUGUCCACUGAGAGACCUUGGCCACAUCACACUCUCAGCUACAAAGGCAAUGGCAAACUCCUUAUGAACAAAUCUUGUCAAGAAAACCCCAUGAUAGGGUUGCCAUAAUCUGGAAAUGACUUGAAGGCACACAACUGGGAAGAAUCUUCUGUUGAUGUAAGAUGUUGAGCAAUAGAAUAGAUUCCCCAGAAGGUCCAAUGAAGCUUUUUAAGAAGAGGUUUGUUGGCUAUGUUUCAAGCAUGGUGACAUGGCUGAUGAUUGACAGUAGACUGGAUUUGGUGACCUUCCCAUCAUCUCCCAGUUCUAAUAUUCUACCGAUACAUACCUGUACAUUGUUAAUGUGUACUUCAGUGGAUAGAUCUAUACCAGGCAAACAGUGCGGAAAGAAAAGGCAUUUCUCAUAUCACUUCCUCAAUUUAAAGAACUGGGGCUACAAAUUACUUCACAAAACCAACCAACUAAUCAUGGACCAUGGUUCUCUAAGGCCCCCUCUACACUGUGCUUAUAUCCCAGGAUCUGAUCCCAGAUUAUCUAUUUAACCCAAAUCAUAUGGCAGUGUGGACUCAUAUAAUCCAGUUCAAAGCAGAUAAUGUAGAUUUUUUUUCUUCAGAAAGAAAAUCAAGAUUCUGUUAUCAAAUCUCUGGGUGAUUUCUUGUGACAUCCUGUAUCAAACACUUCCAUAAAGCAUCAAGACAACCCAGAUUCCUGAUGCCAUAUAAAUAACAAUGAUUGUUUCAUGGUGCUGGCAGCAAAGGAGUGAUCCUUUUGUUAUUUGUCUGUUUAGGUUGUGGUUGCAUGCCCUUUCUGUUAUGCUGUCUGCUCUUUAAAUUAAUAUUUGACGCUUAUGUUGGAUAAUGUUGUCACUCAUUAGUUUAGGCAACUCACAGCUGAGAGCAUCAGCAGUUUGGCUUAAACUGUGCAGAGCUGUUUGACUAUAAUAACAUUGCUCUUAAACUUAACCUGCACAGUACAGUGAUAAUAAAUCUACCUAUGCUGUUUGCACUGCACUCUCUUUUAUUACAGAUGGCAUUUUCCUGUAAAAGUUCAAAGCAAGCUUGACUUUUAUGAUCAGACACAUUCAUUAACCAGAGUAAGACUCCUUUCUGAUAAGAUGUUCUGUUUUAGCAAAGAGCCAGGAGGUGGCAGUGCUUUUUAAUAGAUGAGUGCAAAACAAAUAAAUAAAUAAAGUAAAUGUGCUUUUAUUAUUUUUUAAAAAAAAGAAUUGAGAGACAAGCAGGUCAGGGAAUGCAAUCUGAAGCUUUUGCUUGUUCAGUAAUUCAUGUUCUGGUGGGUAACUGUACUGAAUUUGAAGGGAUAACUGGCUUGAGAAAAGAUGAGCAAGAGAGAGCACAAAGCAAGCAAGCCAAAAAAUUAAAUCAUACAAAACAAAAUAUUAUGUCAGAAGGAAACUCAUGAACCAUCUAUUCAAUCCACUGGAAAAAAGAUGACUUCAUUAUACACACUUAUACAACUAUAUUUUUAGUGGAUUUUCCCCCCAUGAAACUGCAAUUUGCUUCUGGUGUGAGAGAAUUGGCGGUCUGCAUGGAUGUUGCUCAGGGGUCGCCCGGAUGUUUUGAUGUUUUACCAUCCUUGUGGAAGGCUUAUCUGGAGCUGAUAGAGGGAGCUCAUCCGCACGCUCCCCGCGUUGGAUUUGAACCGGCAACCUUCAAGUCAUCCCAACCUUCAAGUUAUCAGUCCUGCCAGCACUAGGGUUUAACCAACUGUGCCACUGGGGACUACUUUUUUAGUGGAUGUAAAGCUCAUUAUGUCUUUUUAGAGGAGAGUGAAGAGAUGUCUAUAUUUCUUAUGCAUAUGCAGGAGACCUGGAAAUAUCCUAUAGAAAACCAGUCAGCUUUCCCUUAGUAUUGUGGAGUGAAGAAUUCUGCUAUGAGAACUGCACAAUCCUGUUAGGUUCCCAAUAUGAAUGACCUGGAACGGUUUCUGAACUCAGUGGCCACUGAGCAUUCCUGUGAAGUGGAAUAUAUCUCAGUGGUUCCAGAACUUCCAAAGAGCAUUGAGGUUUGUCAGGAAUCAUCCCAAGCAGGACACCAGGGAAAUGUCAUUCAUGGAACUUGAUGGAAAAUCUUACCAUACCAAAGAUUUUUAGAAAAGCUUUUGAGUUCCUUAUUUUCCAACACCCCUCACACUUGAUGACACUAAUGCUUGUCACUCAAGGAAGCCCAGAAUUUGAAACAAGACUAGACUAGACUACAAAACUAGAUGUCUGAUUCCCAGUUUUCCUCAUUAGGUGACUCUGUAGGGAACAGGGUCUACUUGGAGGUGAGAGAAGCCAGGGAAGAAUUUGUUUAUCUUAUAACACAGCAGAGAAUGUGGGAGAAGUAAAGCUGCUCUAGACCACGUAAUGGACAAAGUCAUCCCUCAAGAUGUUGGAGUGUUGUUCCAGCAUUCUUCACCAAUGGGAUGCACUUUUGCCCCUCUCUUAAAUAUGCCUUCUUAUGAACCUUUGUCAUCAUUCCUAGGUUGAUCUUCAAUCCCAGCCCCACUUCAUGGUUUUGUCUGAUCUUCCUAGAUUUUAGUGCCCUCUUCAGCUAGUGGUCUAGAAGUUCUUUCCACCUCAAAUACGAAGUAAUCUGUGGAUUUGGGUAAAUUCUUACAAAAAAGAAAUAAUGUGAUCACAUCUCCAUGACCCAUUGUGUUUGCUCUAGAAGGGGCAUAGCUGCUGGUGAGGGGGAGGGAGAGUUUUGUCCCCAAAAAGAAAUCAAACCCUCUCCCCAAAAAGAAAUCAAACCCUCUCCCAUGAAAUUGUCUUUCAGUCUCUAAAUUUCUCGCUGUGCAGAUAGUAAGACACUAAAAAUCAUUCAGAUCAGAAGAUGCUUAACUCUUUUAUUAGAGGUUUUUACACAAGCGGUUGAAUAUAUAUUUAUAUGGAUGUUUUAAUUAAUAUUAUUGUUUUAAUUGUAAUUGUUUUUAUAUACUUUGUUUUAUACUUGGUUGUAAGCUGCCCUGAGUUCCCUUUCGGGGGUGAGAAGGGCAGGAUAUAAAUGUUUGUAAUAAGAAAUAAAUAAACCUCUCAGGGUGAUUUAAUUGUGGAUUUGGCUGGGGAUUGGACUACAUGGUCUUUGGGGUACCUUUCAGUUCUUACGUUUCUAUGGAAAGGGUUCAUAUAUUGAUACUCAGAAAGGCAGAGAUGCUUUCAUCGGGAUUGAAUUAAUGAAAGCUAAUUUGAAGUUUGAGCCAUCUUUCCCAUUCAGGCACAUUCAAUAGAAGACCACAAUCUGAAUUCUAUUGGUAAGCCUAACUAGAGUAGAUCAACUGAAUCUAUGGUGUUUGCAUAAGUGUUUGUUUACUCACGAUUCAAUGGUUUGACUUUAACAGAGACUAAUGGAAGGAUCCAGACAUAUGCCAACAAAAGCUGUGAUUGAUAUUUUGAACCUUUUCAUAAAUGUGCAUUAGCCAUGAGAAUGCUUCAAAAGGAAGGAAGAGUGUUAAAAACCCUGCUAUAAUUUGCUAUUUCUUGUUCGAAGUCAUCCCCCCCCCCCCCGAUAUACCAGUUUGUCACAUUCUCCCACAGGAUUUAACAACUGUGGGAUAGAAACAAAGGAAGUGCUAUAGGAGGCAGCUGAUAUGCCUAGAAGUCUCAAGAGAUUAAAUAAUAGAAAAUUAAGUGAAAUACAGAGCUUUCUGUGAAACUUACACACAUUUUCAGAAUAGUACAAGAAUAAAUAUGUUUUGGCACAGCAGGAGUCCAAAGAGGCUCUGGCAUCUCAAUUGGUGAUAUGACAACUUGCUUAAAAAAAGGAGAAAAAUCCUGAGCUCGGAAUAAAGUGAGUCAAACAAAUAAAAUCCCUGACAUAGAUUGAAAGAUGAAGAAAGUUAUUUCAGACAUGCAGUGCUGGGAUGAAACUGAAGUACUCAAAGCGAUUUCCCCCCAUUUACAAGUCUCCAGAUGACCUGAUCUGCCUUUUCUGUGAUGUACAACUGCAUCCUCAGUUGGUUCAGAUCAUGGAAACAUUAAAACAACAAGAGAAGGGACCCUCUGGUCCUAGGGCUGUUUGGGAUCCCAUUCUUGGCCACGUUCCCUUCCUCAUGACACCAUGGAGUGGAGUUUCUAUAAUAAAGUCUUAGUUUGUUUCUCCAAGACAUUGGUGUAUUUGCUCCUUAAUUAGGA